rnacentral:rRNA from 1 species
AUUGAACGCUGGCGGCAGGCCUAACACAUGCAAGUCGAGCUAGCGGCUGACGGGUGAGUACUGUAUGGGGACUGCCCGAUAGAGGGGGAUAACUACUGGAUACGGUAGCUAAUACCGCAUACUAUCGGAUAACCCAUAUGGGAUUAGCUCGUAGGUGAGGUAAUGGCUCACCUAGGCGACGAUCCCUAGCUGGUCUGAGAGGAUGAGCAGCCACACUGGGACUGAGACACGGCCCAGACUCCUGCGGAGGCAGCAGUGGGGAAUAUUGCACAAUGGGCGGAAGCCUGAUGCAGCCAUGCCGCGUGUAUGAAGAAGGCCCUAGGGUUGAAAAGUACUUUCAGUCGGGAGGCGUUACCGACAGAAGAAGCACCGGCUAACUCCGUGCCAGCAGCCGCGGUAAUUC